UUGGUACUCCUGCCCUUGCAG
rnacentral:miRNA from 1 species